UACGUAGGGUGCAAGCGUUAAUCGGAAUUACUGGGCGUAAAGCGUGCGCAGGCGGUUAUGCAAGACAGAUGUGAAAUCCCCGGGCUCAACCUGGGAACUGCAUUUGUGACUGCAUCGCUGGAGUGCGGCAGAGGGGGAUGGAAUUCCGCGUGUAGCAGUGAAAUGCGUAGAUAUGCGGAGGAACACCGGUGGCGAAGGCGGCAUCCUGGACCGGCAUUGACGCUGAGGCGCGAAAGCCAGGGGAGCAAACGGG
rnacentral:rRNA from 1 species